CUUGAGCCAAAUUGAUUACCCUACUCCAUCUGCAUCAGGCUGGCCGCCUCCUGUGCGCGCCACGUCGUGCCUACAGCCCAGAGACGGCAUUCUAGAUGUUUCCAAUUUCCAGGCCAUUCCCCAAUUUUCAACUCCAAUGAAAGACAACACAUGCUGAAAUGGCUGUUUAAGUAAAGUAAGGAAUUGGUCUCUUUGGGCUAGGCAGCAAAGCCUUCUCCCCCAACACUAUGCCAAAGGAUGGGACGACCAGGUUGCUUGCCGCCGAGCUCUCCAGAGUAAAUUGGCUGAUUGACAAUGUGGUUCAUCUCACAUUUUGUGACUGAACUAAUCCAGUAAAUUCCUACCAGACGCUACACAACUCAGCAG